UACGGAGGAUGCAAGCGUUAUCCGGAAUGAUUGGGCGUAAAGCGUCCGCAGGUGGCUGUGUAAGUCUGCUGUUAAAGAGUGAGGCUCAACCUCAUAAAGGCAGUGGAAACUACAUGGCUAGAGUGCGUUCGGGGCAGAGGGAAUUCCUAGUGUAGCGGUGAAAUGCGUAGAUAUCUGGAGGAAUACCGGUGGCGAAGGCGGCAUCCUGGACCAUUACUGACGCUGAGGCGCGAAAGCUAGGGGAGCAAACGGG
rnacentral:rRNA from 1 species